rnacentral:rRNA from 1 species
UCGAGCGGUAAGGCCCUUCGGGGUACACGAGCGGCGGACGGCUGAGUAACGCGUGGGAACAUGCCCCAAAGUGAGGGAUAAGCUCGAGAAAUCGAGUCUAAUACCGCAUAUGAUCUUCGGAUUAAAGGAUUUAUCCGCUUUGGGAGUGGCCCGCGUACGAUUAGGUAGUUGGUGAGGUAAAGGCUCACCAAGCCCACGAUCGUUAACUGGUCUGAGAGGAUGAUCAGUCAGACUGGAACUGAGAUACGGUCCAGACUCCUACGGGAGGCAGCAGUGAGGAAUCUUCCACAAUGGGCGAAAGCCUGAUGGAGCGACGCCGCGUGCAGGAUGAAGGCCUUCGGGUUGUAAACUGCUUUUAUAAGUGAAGAAUAUGACGGUAACUUAUGAAUAAGCACCGGCUAACUACGUGCCAGCAGCCGCGGUCAUACGUAGGGUGCAAGCAUUAUCCGGAGUGACUGGGCGUAAAGAGUUGCGUAGGUGGACAAGUAAGCGAAUAGUGAAAUUUGACGGCUCAACCGUACAAACUAUUAUUCGAACUGCUUGUCUCGAGAAUGGUAGAGGUAACUGGAAUUUCUUGUGUAGGAGUGAAAUCCGUAGAUAUAAGAAGGAACACCAAUGGCGUAGGCAGGUUACUGGACCAUUUCUGACACUGAGGCACGAAAGCGUGGGGAGCGAACCGGAUUAGAUACCCGGGUAGUCCACGCCGUAAACGAUGGAUACUAGCUGUUGGAGGUAUCGACCCCUUCAGUAGCGAAGCUAACGCGUUAAGUAUCCCGCCUGUGGAGUACGGUCGCAAGACUAAAACAUAAAGGAAUUGACG